ACCUGUGGCACUUGCAGUUUAUCAGCUUCUGUAACUCCAAUUUCAGGAAAGAUAAGGCAAAAAGAACACCCAAGGAUCUCACGACCUUAUUGUUCCUUUGGUUCCAAGGGCCCAAGGGCCCAAGACAGCUUAUCUUUUUCUCUCUAUCUUUCCAAUGUUCUAUGUUUGCUUUAUAUAUAAAGCCCGGGCUAUUAGUAGUACUUAGUGGGAGGAGUUGGAAAAAUCAAGGAAGCAGAAGUUCUGAACAUUCACCUUUAAUAAAAUUUUAUUGAAAAGACAAUUUUGAGUGAAUGAAAUGAAAGGUUAAAGCUAGAAAAAAAGACUUCCUAUAAUGUUUACUAAUAUUAAUAUUGUAAUUACAUACAAGAUUUGCAGAUGGUAUUUAUUUGUCCUAUCUGUAGCAAAGGCAUGUACAUGUCUAGCCAAGGAUCCAAACUAAAGGCUAGCCCUGGUAGGCAGACAGAUACUUGUCUAUGGGUGUGUGGUUUGAUGGUGUUAAGUAAGCCAGACUUCCUCAAAUAAAUCCUCUCUCUGGCUGGUGCAUAGCUUAAGCUUUAUCCCCUAAGCUUAUGUCUAUAAUACCUGUUGAAAUAUAAAGCAUCCAUGGAGAAUAUAUGGUACUAUUCUUGACCCCAAGAGUGCUGCAUGCUGUGAGCACUCAACAGGAAAAAGGAGCAAACAGACACUUAACAGAAACAAACAGACACGAAGACAGGACAUCGCAACCUCCAAAUAUGUUCUUUGCAGUGCACACACAGAGCCAGAUAUAUACAUUUCUGAACAAGCAACUGAAUGAACAAGCAAAUAAAAAUGCCCGACUUAAAUGGAGAUUUGGAUUAUAACUAAUAUAUUUACUGACAACUGCUUGACUGCUUGAAGUGUUAAAAAGGUCACAAGAGGUUGAGUACAACAUAUCUUCCCUACUAGCUGGAGGAGAGAUUUGAUUUCCUCUGGUCUCCUUCCUCUGUUCAGGAACUAAGUUGGAUAAAUAUUUAUUAAACACUUACUGUGUGACAGGAUUCACAUUAUAUACCCCAUUCAAGAGCGAAGUUUAAUAAAUAUGUGUUCAGCACUUACUUUGUGACAGGAUUCACUUUAUAUACUAAGGAUAAGAACUUAUACAUCAUUUUUCUAUGCUUUCUCUUAUUUGAAGCCUUUCAUACCAAAAAGAUGUUUCGAGGAGACUGGCUUUCAUUAUCAGAAAUAGGUAUUGCAUUUUAAAAACAACUUUCCCUUUUCUCCACCUACUAAUUUUUAAAACAAGGUAUACACAUAACCUAUUAUUUCUUAUAUUUUAAAAAUGAGGGCAGUCAGGCCCAGAAAUUUGCCAUGCCCACAUUCCCAUAACAAGAAGAUUUAGCCUUAAAUAGUGGUCUUUUCAGCACCAAACUCAGGAUACUCAUCACACAACACUUUGAUGACACUCAGUUCCUGAGAGACAUUUCUCCCAAAGACCAGUCAACUUUUGAUUAAAAUUCAACCUUACAAUUAUAUUUAUUUUUCUAAAUACUUCCACCAAAUCAAAAACUCCCUGAGAUUAGGGACUUUAUUAUCAUAAUUCAUUAUAAAUUUGUACAUUUGUCCUUACAGACAUUCCGUAUUUGUUAAAUUAACUUGAAUGACUGCAAGAUAAUCUAGAUUCUGAAAUAAAAAAUACCCCUUAGACUCUUCCUGGUUAUCAAUCAACCUGCCUCAGCCCCUUCCUAGCUCUGUGGUCCCAGGUAAAUUAAUAACAUAUUUUUAAGCUUAAGGUUUUUGGGUUUUUUUUGUAAAAUGGGCAUAAUAAUGCUUACUUUACAGGGUUGUUAUAAAUAUAAUAGAUACUUAAUAAAUGGUAAUUGGUAUUAUAAAAUACAUGAAAACCUUAGGAUAGUGUUUGGCAUGGAGCAGGCCUUCCCUCCCUCAACACUGUCCCUCCCCCAACUAGAUAGGAAACUUGGUGAGGACAGGGACAUGCCUAUUUAAAACCAACAGCACAACUGGAAGAGAAGAGGUAAAAUUGUCACUAUAUGCAGAUGACAUGAUACUAUAUACAGAAAACCCUAGGAGCUCCACACAAAAACUACUUGAAAUGAUAAACGAAUUCAGCAAAGCAGAAGGAUACAAGAUUAAAUUCAAAAAUCAGAUGAAUUUCUGUACACUAACAUUGAUAUAUUAGAAAAAGAAUAUAAAAAAUAGCUUCCAAAAAAUUUAAAUAUCUAGGAAUAAACCCAACCAAGGAGGUGAAAAAUAAUUCACUGAGAACUAUAAAGUAUUAAUAAAGGAAAUUAAAGAGGAUUCAAAGAAACGGAAAGAUAUCCCAUGCUCCUGGAUUGGAAGAGUUAAUAUUGUUAAAAUGGCCACACUACCUUACGCAAUCUAUAGAUUUAAUGUGAUCCCUAUCAAAUUACCCAUGGCAUUUUUCACAGAACUAGAACAAAUAAUUUCAAAAUUUAUAUGGAACCAUAAAAGACCUAGAAUUCUCAAAGCAAUCCUCAGAGAAAGAAAAAAAAAAAAAAAAAAAAGCAGGAGGCAUAACUCUCCCAGGCUUCAGACAAUAUUACAAAGCUACAGUAAUCAAUACAGUGUGGUACUGGUACAAAAACAGAUGCAUGGAUCAAUGGAACAUAAUGGAUUGUCCAGAAAUAAACCCAGACACCUACAGUCAAUUAAUCUUCAACAAAGGAGACGAGAAUAUAAAAUGGGAAAAAGACAGUCUCUUCAGCAAGUGUUGCUGGCAAAACCGGAGAGCAGCAUGUAACAGACCCUCACACCAUGGACAAAAAUAAACUCAAAAUGGCUUAAAGACUUAAACAUAAGAUAUGGCACCUUGAAACUCCUAGAAAAGAACACAGGUGAAACAUUCUCUGACAUAAAUCAUACAAAAGUUUUCUUAGGUCAGUCUCCUAAGGCAAUAGAAAUAAAAACAAAAAUAAACAAAUGGGACCUAAUCAAAUUUACAAGCUUUAGCACAGAAAAUGAAACUAUAAAAAGAACUAAAAGACAACCUACAUACUGGGAGAAAGUAAUUGCAAAUGAGGCAACUGGCACAGGCUUAGUCUCCAAAAUAUACAAACUCAUACAACUCAACUGCAAAAAAACAAACAACCCAAUCAAAAAAAUGGGCAGAAGACCUAGGCAUUUCUCCAAAAAAGACAUACAGAUAGCCAGUAGGCACAUGAAAAAAUGUUCAAUGUCAUUAAUUAUUAGGGAAAUGCAAAUCAAAACUAUAAUGAGGUACCUUCUCACACUGGUCGGAAUGGCCAUCAUUAAUAAAUCUACAAAUAACAAAUGCUGGAGAGGGUGUGGAGAAAAGGGAACUCUCCUACACUGUUGGUGGCAAUGUAAAUUGGUACAACCACUAUGAAAAACAGUAUGGAGCUUCCUCAGAAAACUGAAAUAUAGAACUACCAUAUGAUCCAGGAAUCCCACUCCUGGGCAACUAUCCAGACAAAACUAAAAUUCAAAAAGAAACAUGUACCCUUACAUCUAAGGAUGACCUGACCCCCUUGCUGUACAGUGGGAAAAUAAAAAAAAAAAAAAAAAAGAAACAUGUACCCUUAUAUUGAUUGCAGCACUAUUCACAACAGCCAAGACAUGGAAGCAAACUAAAUGUCCAUCAACAGAUGAAUGGAUUAAGAAAAUGUGGUACAUGUACACAAUGGGAUACUACUCAGCCAUAAAAAAGAAUGAAAUAAUGCCAUUUGUUGCAACAUGGAUGGAACUAUAACUUAUCUUACUAAGUGAACAAAGCAGAAAGAGAAAGAUAACUACCAUAGGAUAUCACUUAUAUGUGGAAUCUGAAAUAUGCACAUAUGAACCUAUCUACAAAACAAAAUCAGACUCACAGACAUAAAGAACAGAUUCGUGGUUGCCAGUGGGGAGGGGGAAGGGAAUGAGAUGGACAGAGAGUUUGGGGUUAGUAGAUGCAAGAUAUUACAUUUAGAAUUGAUAAGCAAUGAGGUCCUGCUGUAUAGCACAGGGAACUAUAUCCAGUCUUUUGGAAUAUACCAUGAUGACAGAUAAUAUAAGAAAGGGAAUGUGUGUAUGUACAUGUAUGACUGGGUCACUCUGCUGUACAGCAGAAAUUGGCACAACAUUGUAAGUCAACUAUACUUUAAUACAGAUAUAGAUAUAUAGACACAUCCUCUAGACAAAAAUAAAAUAUAUGAUCAUCAAUCACUCUGAAAACUUUUCAUUUUAACACAUACGCUCUAUUAUUUAUUUUACCUGUGAAGUCCCCAUCAGCUCCCUACUAUCUGCCUUCAUCCCUUCCUGGGAACUAAUUGUUCAUUCAUGUAUGCAAUUAACAUUUACUGAGCACUUACUGCCUACCACAAGCCAGGCCGCAAAGAUUCAUAAGACUAUCUUACUGCCUCUAAAGGAUUUAUACGCUGCAAGGAAAAACCAGGCAUAAACAAUUUAUAAUUAAUGGAGGCGUUAUGAUAGAAGUAUGAAAAAGUGCUAAGGUUAUAAGAGUGAUUCAUGUUGCCUGGGGAGUUUGCUUAUGAGAGCAGACAUGUGGGAAAGUAAUUUUUUCUCUUUGUAAACUAAAUUGCCUUACUAGUAAUAAAAAUAGUUUCCAUUUGUGUAGUACUUUGCAAAGUGCUUUCACAUCCAUUUCUUCUUUUAAUCCUCACAAUGAAGACUUUAUUGUUUAGGUUUUGGGGUUUUUUUUAGCAUACUCAUUUUAAAAAUGGAACUAUGAAGCCAAUAGAUUAAUAAUAUUGAAAUUCGUUCUAAAGCCCAUAAGUAGAUGAUACAAACUGAAACUGAAAAUAAGUCUUCAUUGGAGCUUCUCAAAAAAGCUAAUAGCAGAGACCUUUAUUAUUGUCUUAUGUCAAUCCAGAUUUGCCAUCCUGCUAUAACAUCUUAUUAUAACAACCUUCUAGCUGGAUUCCCUGAUUUGUGUCUCAUCUCCCUCCAAGACUUUUGCUACAGUGGCCACAAAAUGAUAAUUUUUACAUGUAAAUUAAAGCAUGCCAUUGUCUUGCUUAAAGAUCUUUUAGCCUAAAAAUCUUCUUACUUCCUAUAGGAUAAAGUCCAAAUGCUUAUGCAUAGUAUAUAAAAUUCUCCAUCAUCUAAACCUAUCAAAUGUUUCAAAUUCUUUAGUGAUCACACUCUCUUCCAAUAACCUUACUAUUUUAGUCAAAGCUACCAUACUAUUUCCACUUCUACACAUUUAUAGUGUCUUUGGCUUAAAAUGCCUUUAACUCUCCAUCAUUUUGUCUGGUCAAAUGAGGGUGGACAUAGAAACUGUGGCUUUUUUGUUGUUAUUUAUACGCAGAAUUACUUAAUAGUUAUGGUAAAACCUUGGCAACUGAAAUUUAGCUCUUGCUUUUUUUCUUAAUUUGUCACUGCCUAAAAUACAAUUUGGGAACCACUAGACUAGCAUCUUCCUUUAAGAUCUCACAAAGAGAUCACUAUGUUUUAUAUUACAUAUCAAAGAUUCAUGACAUUUAUUGAUUACAUUUACAACUAAAAUAUGUUAUUUUGUGAGUAUAGUCUGCUGAGGAACCAACUGAAGAUAAGUCAAAACAAGAAAGAUAUGAGUCAUCUUGGAUCUUACAUUCAAUGAAAUAAAUAGAUAACAAAAUCAAUGAAUAAAUUAAAUCUCACAGAGUGGUGAUAAGUGCUAUUAAGGAAAUAAAAAAAUGGUCUGGGAAGGGAGGCACUUUGGAGAAGAUGGUACAUGAAGGCCUCCGAGGAAAUUACAUUUUAUUUUUUUUAAUAUAGUAUAGUUGAUUUACAAUGUUGUGCCAAUUUCUGAUGUACAGCAGAGUGACUCGGCUCUAUAUAUGUAUACAUUCUUUUUUCAUAUUAUUUUCCAUCAUGGUCUAUCCCAGGAAAUUGGAUAGAGUUCCCUGAGCUAUAUACAGUAGGCCCUUGUUGUUUAGCCAUUCUAAAUGUAAUAGUUUACAUCCAGUAAUCCCAAACUCCUACAGUUUGCAAAAAUGACAUUUUAGAUGAGACUUAAAAGAUGAGGAGUCAGCCAUGCAGUUGGGAGAAGAAUCUGUUGAGUCAAGGAAGAAGUUCAGAGUGGUUGAAAAUCAGUGUGAUUCAAAGACCAAUGUGGUUGCAAACAGUGAGAGAAGGGGACGUGCUGGGAGUUGAUAGUAGUGCAGGAAGGACCUAGCAGGCCAAGGCAUGGAAACCGUUGAAAGAUUUUAAGCAAGUGCAUGGUGAACCUGAAUGCAGCCCUGGCUGUAGGUGCAAGGUGGAGAGUGGAUUAUAAAAGAGCAGGUGAGGAAACAAGGAGACUAGUUACAAGGCUAUUGCAAUGGUCCGAGAUAUACUGAUAAAUGAACAAUAGUGGUGGCAGUGGCAGCGUAGACAAGUGUAUGGACUUGAGAUACACUAUGGAGAUGAAACCACCAAGACCAUUUUGAAGGACAGCAAUAAGAAUCAAGA
rnacentral:lncRNA from 1 species